GACGGGGGGGUCCAAGCGUUGUUCGGAAUCAUUGGGCGUAAAGCGGGCGUAGGUGGCCAUGUAAGUCAGGAGUGAAAGCCCUGGGCUCAACCCAGGAAGUGCUCUUGAUACUGCAUGGCUUGAAUGUGGGAGAGGGUAGUGGAAUUCCAGGUGUAGUGGUGAAAUGCGUAGAGAUCGGGAGGAACACCCCGUGGCGAAGGCGGCUCACUGGGCCGGUCCUGACGCUGAGACGCGCAAGGCGUGGGGAGGCGAACGGGG
rnacentral:rRNA from 1 species